rnacentral:rRNA from 1 species
UCGAACGGUGAAGCAGAGCUUGCUCUGUGGAUCAGUGGCGAACGGGUGAGUAACACGUGAGCAAUCUGCCCCUGACUCUGGGAUAAGCGCUGGAAACGGCGUCUAAUACCGGAUACGAGCUGCGAAGGCAUCUUCAGCAGCUGGAAAGAAUUUCGGUCAGGGAUGAGCUCGCGGCCUAUCAGCUUGUUGGUGAGGUAACGGCUCACCAAGGCGUCGACGGGUAGCCGGCCUGAGAGGGUGACCGGCCACACUGGGACUGAGACACGGCCCAGACUCCUACGGGAGGCAGCAGUGGGGAAUAUUGCACAAUGGGCGAAAGCCUGAUGCAGCAACGCCGCGUGAGGGACGACGGCCUUCGGGUUGUAAACCUCUUUUAGCAGGAAAGAAGCGAAAGUGACGGUACCUGCAGAAAAAGCGCCGGCUAACUACGUGCCAGCAGCCGCGGUAAUACGUAGGGCGCAAGCGUUAUCCGGAAUUAUUGGGCGUAAAGAGCUCGUAGGCGGUCUGUCGCGUCUGCUGUGAAAACCCGAGGCUCAACCUCGGGCCUGCAGUGGGUACGGGCAGACUAGAGUGCGGUAGGGGAGAUUGGAAUUCCUGGUGUAGCGGUGGGAUGCGCAGAUAUCAUGAGGAACACCGAUGGCGAAGGCAGAUCUCUGGGCCGUAACUGACGCUGAGGAGCGAAAGGGUGGGGGAGCAACAGGCUUAGAUACCCUGGUAGUCCACCCCGUAAACGUUGGGGAACUAUUGGGGGGUCCAUUUCACCGGAUUCGGGGAACCAAACUAACGAAUUAAAUUUCCCCGGCCG